AGUUCAUGACAAGGACAGCUUCUCAAAAAAAUCUUUAAAUCUUUCCCAUGUAUCAUAAAGUGUCUCAAUAUCAAACUGAACAAAAGAAGAGAUGUCAUUCUCAACUU
rfam:Gossypium hirsutum cultivar TM-1 chromosome 1, whole genome shotgun sequence